CAAAGCAGUAAUCCUUCACGCAGAUCUGCAGCUCGUAGCCCUCCGGCCCGGUCUCAGCGCUCAGCGUGCUGCAACGGAGGACAAGACCACAGGAUGUCAAUGCCACAGUUUACCGUGGGGCCCGAUCAUGUUCACCUCCACAAAUGGACGGAAGAUACCAGUGGUUUGCCACUUGAGGUCAUUGGCUGCCACGACUGCAGAGGAAAUCAGACGCGGGCAGAUAGUAAAUGUUAUAGCAAUGUUACUUCAA